UGCCUGCGUCUACUUUUCAGAGCUGGAAUGAGAGUGUGCACCACCACACUAGGCUGUCUUUGACAUCUGUAUUGAGAUUACCCUGUAAGAAAAGAGUGAAAGCGAACUCAAUGGAAGAGUUUGCAAUUGUGUGGCUCGUCACUCUUUGCUGUCUAAACAGAGUUAAAUAAUUCCACCUUUCACACUUUGCGGUGCUGAGUUGUGUAUGAAGAGCCUGAGUUGUAUAGGGUACAUUUCUGGAACUCCUCAGCUUGAAAUAGCAAAAAGCUACAUUGUUUGAGGAAUUAAAAUUACUUUCCUCUAUGAAUCUGAAUUUGUAUAGUUGACUUUAUGAGAAUAAUAUAGCAAGAUUAUGGUAAAUAUUCCUAAUUUUCUGUUCACACAGAAAGCUGACAUGUGUUGACGAUCUGUGGGGUUCUGGGUGUGCAUCAUCUCAUUCAGCAUCAGAGUGGCCCUGCAGAUGAGGAUGCAGGCACUGAGUACUUAGUAGUGUUGCCAAGGUCAUACAGCAAGUGGGAGAUUUCAGAUGUGAUCUCAGGCAGCCUGUCUCGCUGCCCUGUCCCUGGGCUCUGGGUCUUUACUGUUUUACGCACACACACCAUGCUUGUGCUCAGUCCUAUCCCGGCAUCAGUUUCCAACAGAAGUGAAUGAGACCAAAUUUCCCCACAUCAGCAGCAGCACAGAACACUGAAAUUUUUAGAUUUGUACUUAUUAAUUAAUGGAAGAAUGAUCAUCUUCCCCUAAUUCUACUUUUAAGGUAAGAAUGAGUUAAAGGGAUGGAGGUGUGGCUCAGUGCUAGAGCAGAUACUAGCCUAUCAUUUCCCUUAUCAUUUAAUAGGAACUGUAUAUUAUAGACAUUUCCUUUUUCUGUUAAGACAAGGUACAGACCCUCCAUCAGUUUUUAUUUGGUUUAUGGUAUUUUACUGAUAUUUUUGAUUUUUCAGUUUUAACUUGUGUCUUUAGAUUUUAAAUCAUGUUGCAAAGGCCUGUUCUAUUCUGAGGCUAAGAAGUUUUUCCUUAUUUAUUCUAGAACUCUGACUUUCUCACUUCCCACGCUUAGGUCUUCUGCCCUUCUAGAAUUCAACCUGGCAGGCACCUGAGAUACUGUUCCAGAGUUCUGAUCGUUUUCCUCCCCAGCCGUUUAUGAAAUGCCUGUGUGUUUCCCGCUGUUUGGACUGUCAGCACCAUGUGCUGCCCGCCCGCCUUACCUCUGCUCCAGUCUGUUGGUUGGGGUCUGUUUGAGCUGCCAUCCCUCCUGUUUCCUCGGACACGGCCUAAAAUAAGUCAGGGUCACUUUCCUCUCAUCUGCCUUUUCUUCAGCUCUCUUGAUUGUUGCUGAUUGAGAUUUAAAAGAUGAUAUUUAGAUCUGUUUACUGUGUUCUAGUGAGCAACAAAACCCCAGAAAACAAACCCGAAACAACCCGUGUCCUGGCUCUGCUCCCUGCAGAUCUAGGGUCACAGGUAGCCACACCCAGAUUUUCAAGUGAGUGUAGAUCUGAACUCAGGUUCUCACAUUUGUGCAACAAUCACUUUUGCCCACUGGGCCAUCUCUGUGGUCCCCAUAUUAAACUGUAUUCUGUAGCGGACAACAUACAGUGUCUCAGUUUCCAUUCAAGAUAUUGCAGAAAGUGACUCAUUUUCAUCUCCAGCAAACCGUGUACACUUUGGCCUCCUCGAUAUUUCUCCUCUUGCAAAUGAAGAGUUUAAAACCGUAUAAUUCAAUUAGUGAAGAAUCUUCAACUAUGUGAGAUCCUGUCUGAUGUGGCUUCCUGCGUGGUUGACCAUUCAGGAAGAAAGCAUACAUUGGCAGCUUUCCCAGGGAGAUCGCAAUCAGGAGGAAAGAAAAUUUCUCAGGGGAAACACAAGGCUGGCCAUCUGUGUCAAAGAGGAGCAUGGAGUGGACCUUGCUAACACCAUGGUCUCCACAUUCCGGUCUCCAGGACCACAGACAAUGCAUUUCUGCUGUUUAAGCACCACCUUCCUCCACAAAUGAACAGCCUUGGAAAUGAAUUAGGAAAUCCAACUGGAGAGCACCAGCGGACCCUAUGGAAACAAAGAACAGAGACUACAUCUCCUGGACACAAGCUCCCAAGGUGUGUGACAGCCUGAAACAACGAGAAUAUAGUGAACAGAUGCUGGCUGAAUGAACCAGAUGUGGAUAAUGUUCUUGAUGGAUUCUUAUUGAUGGAGGAAAAGGGGUAACACCAGCCAAGAGUGGACACUCUAAAGGAGGAAGGCAGUUUAUUGUAGUGAAACUGCACUGCAGUUUUAUACAUGACCCCUCAAUGCAUACAACAUCACGUUACUCCACCCUGUUGCACAAGACACCACUGAACUGCAGAGGCUCAAAGUGCUCUGCAUGAGUUAAUACUGACACAACGCGUUUCCACCGCUCCGCCCACAUUCCAUUAGAUAUUGAAAGAGCUCCUUCCAGCCUCUGACAGCUCCCACGUGGCGCAUAGUGUCUCUCAGUGUUCUUCCUUCCACUAUGCUAGUUAGUUGUCAGAAGCCUGCUUAGGAAAACCGACUUAGAUGAGAGGUCCCGACAUUUCUACCUACACGCAGCUCUUGGAAAAUGUGAACACCGGCAAGACAUCUGAGGUAACUAAGAAAAGUAAAGAUAAUAGAAACAUGCACCUGGGGACGAAAACCAGCAACAUAUAGAGAGUACAUAAAUGCAUGCAUGUGGGGGUUUAUGUACACGACACCCCUUUCAUCUAACACCUUGUCUAUAGUACAUUUUAGACAUUUACCCCAUAUUGCACAAACCCAGAUAUACACACAGUCUGAUGUAUCGCUGUGCAAGCCAUCCUCACAGAGGAGAGCUCUACACAACAUUCUGAAUGAGCUUAUUCAUGACUUUUUUGUAGAAUUGACAGUUCUCUGUGCAGAAAUAUAUUCACAUACACCAAGGUCUCCUUUCCUAAAUGUAGGAUUCUUUAGCACACUGGAGUUGGUCAACCUCAAAGACCAUGUGCUGUUGCCUGAGACAGUCCAACUUGGCCUCCUGCAUGGAUUCAGACACGGUCCUCAGUCGGUGCAGCUCAGAGCUCCCCCGAGUUUCCACAGAGACACAGACAGUCUGACUCUGUUUCCAGUGCUCAGUCAUGGGUGACAAUCUGUGUCCACCAGGUGUCCCUUCACUGUGGUCACCUCCAAGGCGAGAAGGCAGAGCUGUGUUCCAUUUGAGCAUUCUCGCUCUCAUACUGGCAACUGUCUGGCCACCGUAGGCUGUGAGUCCAGGUGCCUGGUAAUGAAUGGCCUCUUCGUACGAUGGUGGACUUCCUGGAUUCCUCACAUCCACUAUCUGGAACACGUUAUCAACUGAGAGGGUCCAGGUUCUAGACAAGCUGAAGUCCAGAGUUGUUUGGCUUUGGAUUUCUGACUCAUUUUCCUGGAUGAUUCUGCCAGCAAGCUGGCUUUCUUUUCUGAAACCCUUCCUGAUUUGGUCUCUGGAAAAGUCUUUGGAUUUCUCAGACCCCAUGCUGGAGGUCCCGGGCAGCACUUUUUUGUGAGACGUAAAGGAAAACGACAUGGAAUGCUUUCUAAUUUCUCUCUGGGGUUUGAUCUUGUCGGUCUUUGUGGUGAAGCUCUGGUGUCUGGUGAAGAAGUUUCUUUUGGGACAAGACGGAGAAGGCAGAGGUGAGCUGUCCAAAGAUUUACCUGGGGAGACUCUGGAAAAUGCUUUGGGUACCAGUCCCUGUGAUGAUGCUAAACCUUGGGUCAAGUUCUUUAUCUUUAAAUCCACUGGUCUCUUGGGCUUGCCUUCAGCUGCUGGGAAGACCUCCUCUGUAAACGGAUCUUCAGCCUCAUCACCCUCCAAACAAGAGGCUUCAUGGGGCAUGGUGAAGUUAUCCUCACUCUUGGUUAGCUUUUGUUUUCUCAUUUGGCCCAUGAGGCACUCUUGUGAGGGUGACAUGUUGGGCUCAGAGAACCGCCUGUCUUGCUGGCCAAUGGAGCUUUUCAACCUGGCUGCCAUGCUAACAAUGGGUUCUGAGCUUGACUCACAGGUGUCCUGUGGGCCGCGGUUAUCCAGGCCAGCGUGCCCCUCCAGCUGCCCGCUGGGAGAAGUGGCGGCACUCGUGGGCUCCACAUCUGGGUCAUUGCUGUCGUAAGCUGAGUCGUUCUGCAGAGUUGACACAUCUGGGAAGAGUUAAGGCAGAGGUGAACAUUUUAUCUAGGCUCUUUCAGCAACAGUAUUUACUACAGGCUGCCCUGUUUAGUUAGACCUAUGGUGAUUUUGUGGAAGUGCAUUGGGGCUUGAUCUGACAAUAAACUGAUUACAUUAAAACUUU